rnacentral:misc_RNA from 1 species
AACCAUUCUCACCUGCGGCUAGACCUGCGGAAGGAUCAUUAACAAUUGUCCAAAGUAUGGAUAAUUUAUCCAUAACCACCUUGUGUGAACCAUUGAAUGUUGUCGUUGGCAGGUUGUUGGUGGCUGGGUUUGUCAACCACACCAGCGAGGGAGAGAUGAUAUCGAAUCUCAGCCUGCCGACUUUUUUUAUUGUCUCAACGCGUUUAAACUGGCUUUCAGUCUGAAACAUAUUUAAAUAAC